GGGGGUGUAGCUCUAACGGGAGAGCGCCCGCCUUGCACGCGGGAGGAUGGCGGUUCGAAUCCGCUCGCCUCCACCA
rnacentral:tRNA from 1 species